rnacentral:lncRNA from 12 species
GGGGGGGGGGGGGGGGGGGGGGGGGGGGGGGGGGGGGGGGGGGGGGGGGGGGGUUUUUUUUUUUUUCUUUUCAACUCCCCCUCUCUGAACACUACAGAACAUAGUAUCUCUCCACAAAGUUACUGUUUUAUGGCUUGCACAGGAGCCUGGCACUACAGGGCUCUCUAAAAGCCUUAGAGAUCAUCGCACCCUUGUUAUCCUAGCAGGUUUGUGCCUUGCAAUCUCGCCGUGCUAAUUGUUGAGAAAAUGCGCUUGGUAGUCUACACCGGCAG